rnacentral:rRNA from 1 species
GACGAACGCUGGCGGCGUGCCUAAUACAUGCAAGUCGAACGCAGUGGGGACGGGUGAGUAACACGUGGGUAACCUCCCAUCAGAGGGGAUAACACUUGGAAACAGGUGCUAAACCGAUACUGGUUGAUGUAGCCGCGGUGCAUUAGCUAGUUGGUGAGGUAACGGCUCACCAAGGUCACGAUGCAUAGCUGACCUGAGAGGGUGACCGGCCACACUGGGACUGAGACACGGCCCAGACUCCUACGGGAGGCAGCAGUAGGGAAUAUUCGGCAAUGGACGAAAGCCUGACCGAGCAACGCCGCGUGAGUGAAGAAGGUUUUCGGAUUGUAAAACUCUGUUGUUAGAGAAGCGGUAUCUAAACAGAAAGCAACGGCUAACUACGUGCCAGCAGCCGCGGUAAUAC